rnacentral:lncRNA from 1 species
UAAUAUUAAAAAUAAUUAUUACUCUUUCAAACAAACCCAAAACAAAAAAAUAUUGGAUUUAAACCGGUUGAUGGGAAACUGUUGAUGGUGGACCAGAGAUUGAUGAUUUUACAAGGCUGAAACGCAAGUAAAAAGUUAUAAAUUAUAAAGAUGGUCGACCGGAACAUGGUCCUCGGAGACCUUGGGCAAACCAACUGAACAAUCAAUACAACACAUUGCACCAGCGUGGGGCAUCUCAGUGUUUCCCAGAGCGUAGCACCCUUAAUGACUGCAAAUCCCACAAUUUUUUGUUGCUUUGGUCCCAUACCGCGUGGGACUUUAGGAGUUGGUCCCAACUCCAACCAAUCCUAUCAGACAGAAGCACUAGCAAGUUUAGACAAGUUUCAUCAAGGUUUUUGUUUUUUUUGUUCUUCUUUCUUACUACUUGUUAUUGUCUGACUUUAGAUGCAACCGUUGUGAUUACAAUAAACUAACCGUUCUGAUUGUCAUUUUUGUUUUGUUUUCAGUUUGAACCAAACAGAUUCUUUUAGUUUGCUUGCAUUCAACAACAUUUCGUGUAUUAAAAAUAUCACUU